CCUACGGGUGGCAGCAGUGGGGAAUAUUGCACAAUGGGGGAAACCCUGAUGCAGCAACGCCGCGUGAGUGAAGAAGUAUUUCGGUAUGUAAAGCUCUAUCAGCAGGGAAGAAGAUGACGGUACCUGAGUAAGAAGCUCCGGCUAACUACGUGCCAGCAGCCGCGGUAAUACGUAGGGGGCAAGCGUUAUCCGGAUUUACUGGGUGUAAAGGGAGUGUAGAGGGUGGGACAAGUCUGAAGUGAAAGCCCGGGGCUCAACCCCGGGACUGCUUUGGAAACUGCCUGACUGGGGUGCUGGAAAGGCGAGCGAAAUUCCUGGUGUAGCGGUGAAAUGCGUAGAUAUUAGGAAGAACACCAGUGGCGAAGGCGGCUUGCUGAACAGUAACUGACGUUGGGGCUCGAAAGCGUGGGGAGCAAACAGGAUUAGAUACCCUUGUGUC
rnacentral:rRNA from 1 species